GACGAACGCUGGCGGCGUGCCUAAUACAUGCAAGUUGAGCGCUGAAGGCUGGUACUUGUACCAACUGGAUGAGCAGCGAACGGGUGAGUAACGCGUGGGGAAUCUGCCUGUGAGCGGGGGACAACAUGGGGAAACGGAUGCUAAUACCGCAUAAAAACUUGAAACAAGAGGUGGAAGGGUGAAAGAUGCAAUUGGAGCACUCAAAGAUGAUCCCGCGCUGUAUUAGCUAGGUGGUGAGGUAAAGGCGCACCAAGGCGAUGAGACAUGGCCGACCUGAGAGGGCGAUCCGCCACAUUUGGACUGAGACCCGGCCCAAACGCCUACGGGAGGCAGCCGUACGGAAUCUUCGGCAAUGGACGAAAGUCUGACCGCGCAACGCCGCGUGAGUGAAGAAGGGUGUCGGAUCGUAAAACUCUGUUGGUAGAGAAGAACGUUGGUGAGAGUGGAAAGCUCAUCAAGUGACGGUAACUACCCAGAAAGGGACGGCUAACUACGUG
rnacentral:rRNA from 1 species